rnacentral:rRNA from 1 species
UACGGAGGGUGCAAGCGUUAUCCGGAUUUACUGGGUUUAAAGGGUGUGUAGGCGGACUAUUAAGUCAGGGGUGAAAUCCCGAGGCUCAACCUCGGAACUGCCUUUGAUACUAUUAGUCUUGAAUGUUGUUGAGGUGGGCGGAACGGGUCAUGUAGCGGUGAAAUGCAUAGAUAUGACCCGGAACACCGAUUGCGAAGGCAGCCCGCUAAGCAACUAGUGACGCUGAGGCACGAAAGCGUGGGGAUCAAACAGG